rnacentral:rRNA from 1 species
UACGAAGGGGGCUAGCGUUGCUCGGAAUUACUGGGCGUAAAGCGCACGUAGGCGGCUUUCUAAGUCGGGGGUGAAAGCCUGUGGCUCAACCACAGAAUUGCCUUCGAUACUGUUUGGCUUGAGUAUGGUAGAGGUCAGUGGAACUGCGAGUGUAGAGGUGAAAUUCGUAGAUAUUCGCAAGAACACCAGUGGCGAAGGCGGCUGACUGGACCAUUACUGACGCUGAGACACGAAAGCGUGGGUAGCAAACAGG